UACGUAGGGAGCAAGCGUUGUCCGGAAUCAUUGGGCGUAAAGCGCGCGUAGGCGGCCCGAUAAGUCCGCUGUGAAAGUCGGGGGCUCAACCCUCGGAUGCCGGUGGAUACUGUCGGGCUUGAGUACGGAAGAGGCGAGUGGAAUUCCUGGUGUAGCGGUGAAAUGCGCAGAUAUCAGGAGGAACACCAAUUGCGAAGGCAGCUCGCUGGGACGUUACUGACGCUGAGACGCGAAAGCGUGGGGAGCAAACAGG
rnacentral:rRNA from 1 species